GGACGAACGCUGGCGGCGUGCUUAACACAUGCAAGUCGAGCGGUAAGGCCCUUUCGGGGGUACGACGAGCGGCGAACGGGUGAGUAACACGUGGGUGACCUGCCCUCAGCUCUGGGAUAAGCCUGGGAAACUGGGUCUAAUACCGGAUAUGACUCCAUGACGCAUGUUGUGGGGUGGAAAGCCUUGUGCGGCUGAGGAUGGGCCCGCGGCCUAUCAGCUUGUUGGUGGGGUGAGGCCUACCAAGGCGACGACGGGUAGCCGGCCUGAGAGGGCGACCGGCCACACUGGGACUGAGACACGGCCCAGACUCCUACGGGAGGCAGCAGUGGGGAAUCUUGCGCAAAUGGGCGAAAGCCUGACGCAGCGACGCCGCGUGAGGGAUGACGGCCU
rnacentral:rRNA from 1 species